UCCCUCUCAGAAUGGCUCCCGGAGAGUUUCCAGUCCUCUACCAGUCUCGGCUACGGGAGGGAGAGUCAAGCAGAGGCCUGUCCGUUCCAUUCCUAGCUUGGCCAGUGGCUAGCGAGUGGAAAACAAUCUGCUACGAGU
rnacentral:snoRNA from 1 species